GAAAAAGCAGAGGUUUGAAGCAAUUUACAGAUCUAACGUAUACUUCAGGGACAUUGAAUUGGUCAUCGUGAUUGGGUGAAUCUUAGUUUCAUUUUCUUAUAGCUUUAAAGAUUCAGUACAUGAUGGUACAUUG
rfam:Brassica napus, WGS project CCCW01000000 data, contig: 8503